CGAAAUCGGUAGACGCUACGGACUUAAAAUCCGUUGGCUUUUUAGACCGUGAGGGUUCAAGUCCCUCUACCCUCA
rnacentral:tRNA from 1 species